rnacentral:lncRNA from 1 species
CUGGCAUCUGCUUGGCUUCUGGGGAGCCCUCGGGAAACUUACAAUCAUGGCAGAAGGUGAAGGAGAAGCAGUGUCCAUUCUCCAGUAUGGUUUUGGGGGAGUAUGGCUUCCUACCUACUGCGGACCACCUGUCAACUCUGGGCUGUAACAUGAGAGAAUUGUGAACUUCUGUCUUGUUUGAGCCAUGGUUUCAUUCUCUUUUUCAGCCAUGUAGCCUGUGCUGUAACUCAGUGCCACAUUAGCAACUAGUGAAAGUCAAUGAUCACAUUGAAAUUAUUCCCUGCCCCCUGCG